UUAAGCGACUAAGCGUACACGGUGGAUGCCCUGGCAGUCAGAGGCGAUGAAGGACGUGCUAAUCUGCGAUAAGCGUCGGUAAGGUGAUAUGAACCGUUAUAACCGGCGAUUUCCGAAUGGGGAAACCCAGUGUGUUUCGACACACUAUCAUUAACUGAAUCCAUAGGUUAAUGAGGCGAACCGGGGGAACUGAAACAUCUAAGUACCCCGAGGAAAAGAAAUCAACCGAGAUUCCCCCAGUAGCGGCGAGCGAACGGGGAGCAGCCCAGAGCCUGAAUCAGUGUGUGUGUUAGUGGAAGCGUCUGGAAAGGCGCGCGAUACAGGGUGACAGCCCCGUACACAAAAAUGCACAUAUUGUGAGCUCGAUGAGUAGGGCGGGACACGUGGUAUCCUGUCUGAAUAUGGGGGGACCAUCCUCCAAGGCUAAAUACUCCUGACUGACCGAUAGUGAACCAGUACCGUGAGGGAAAGGCGAAAAGAACCCCGGCGAGGGGAGUGAAAAAGAACCUGAAACCGUGUACGUACAAGCAGUGGGAGCACGCUUAGGCGUGUGACUGCGUACCUUUUGUAUAAUGGGUCAGCGACUUAUAUUCUGUAGCAAGGUUAACCGAAUAGGGGAGCCGAAGGGAAACCGAGUCUUAACUGGGCGUUAAGUUGCAGGGUAUAGACCCGAAACCCGGUGAUCUAGCCAUGGGCAGGUUGAAGGUUGGGUAACACUAACUGGAGGACCGAACCGACUAAUGUUGAAAAAUUAGCGGAUGACUUGUGGCUGGGGGUGAAAGGCCAAUCAAACCGGGAGAUAGCUGGUUCUCCCCGAAAGCUAUUUAGGUAGCGCCUCGUGAAUUCAUCUCCGGGGGUAGAGCACUGUUUCGGCAAGGGGGUCAUCCCGACUUACCAACCCGAUGCAAACUGCGAAUACCGGAGAAUGUUAUCACGGGAGACACACGGCGGGUGCUAACGUCCGUCGUGAAGAGGGAAACAACCCAGACCGCCAGCUAAGGUCCCAAAGUCAUGGUUAAGUGGGAAACGAUGUGGGAAGGCCCAGACAGCCAGGAUGUUGGCUUAGAAGCAGCCAUCAUUUAAAGAAAGCGUAAUAGCUCACUGGUCGAGUCGGCCUGCGCGGAAGAUGUAACGGGGCUAAACCAUGCACCGAAGCUGCGGCAGCGACGCUUAUGCGUUGUUGGGUAGGGGAGCGUUCUGUAAGCCUGUGAAGGUGUGCUGUGAGGCAUGCUGGAGGUAUCAGAAGUGCGAAUGCUGACAUAAGUAACGAUAAAGCGGGUGAAAAGCCCGCUCGCCGGAAGACCAAGGGUUCCUGUCCAACGUUAAUCGGGGCAGGGUGAGUCGACCCCUAAGGCGAGGCCGAAAGGCGUAGUCGAUGGGAAACAGGUUAAUAUUCCUGUACUUGGUGUUACUGCGAAGGGGGACGGAGAAGGCUAUGUUGGCCGGGCGACGGUUGUCCCGGUUUAAGCGUGUAGGCUGGUUUUCCAGGCAAAUCCGGAAAAUCAAGGCUGAGGCGUGAUGACGAGGCACUACGGUGCUGAAGCAACAAAUGCCCUGCUUCCAGGAAAAGCCUCUAAGCAUCAGGUAACAUCAAAUCGUACCCCAAACCGACACAGGUGGUCAGGUAGAGAAUACCAAGGCGCUUGAGAGAACUCGGGUGAAGGAACUAGGCAAAAUGGUGCCGUAACUUCGGGAGAAGGCACGCUGAUAUGUAGGUGAAGCGACUUGCUCGUGGAGCUGAAAUCAGUCGAAGAUACCAGCUGGCUGCAACUGUUUAUUAAAAACACAGCACUGUGCAAACACGAAAGUGGACGUAUACGGUGUGACGCCUGCCCGGUGCCGGAAGGUUAAUUGAUGGGGUCAGCGCAAGCGAAGCUCUUGAUCGAAGCCCCGGUAAACGGCGGCCGUAACUAUAACGGUCCUAAGGUAGCGAAAUUCCUUGUCGGGUAAGUUCCGACCUGCACGAAUGGCGUAAUGAUGGCCAGGCUGUCUCCACCCGAGACUCAGUGAAAUUGAACUCGCUGUGAAGAUGCAGUGUACCCGCGGCAAGACGGAAAGACCCCGUGAACCUUUACUAUAGCUUGACACUGAACAUUGAGCCUUGAUGUGUAGGAUAGGUGGGAGGCUUUGAAGUGUGGACGCCAGUCUGCAUGGAGCCGACCUUGAAAUACCACCCUUUAAUGUUUGAUGUUCUAACGUUGACCCGUAAUCCGGGUUGCGGACAGUGUCUGGUGGGUAGUUUGACUGGGGCGGUCUCCUCCUAAAGAGUAACGGAGGAGCACGAAGGUUGGCUAAUCCUGGUCGGACAUCAGGAGGUUAGUGCAAUGGCAUAAGCCAGCUUGACUGCGAGCGUGACGGGCGCGAGCAGGUGCGAAAGCAGGUCAUAGUGAUCCGGUGGUUCUGAAUGGAAGGGCCAUCGCUCAACGGAUAAAAGGUACUCCGGGGAUAACAGGCUGAUACCGCCCAAGAGUUCAUAUCGACGGCGGUGUUUGGCACCUCGAUGUCGGCUCAUCACAUCCUGGGGCUGAAGUAGGUCCCAAGGGUAUGGCUGUUCGCCAUUUAAAGUGGUACGCGAGCUGGGUUUAGAACGUCGUGAGACAGUUCGGUCCCUAUCUGCCGUGGGCGCUGGAGAAUUGAGGGGGGCUGCUCCUAGUACGAGAGGACCGGAGUGGACGCAUCACUGGUGUUCGGGUUGUCAUGCCAAUGGCACUGCCCGGUAGCUAAAUGCGGAAGAGAUAAGUGCUGAAAGCAUCUAAGCACGAAACUUGCCCCGAGAUGAGUUCUCCCUGACUCCUUGAGAGUCCUGAAGGAACGUUGAAGACGACGACGUUGAUAGGCCGGGUGUGUAAGCGCAGCGAUGCGUUGAGCUAACCGGUACUAAUGAACCGUGAGGCUUAACCUU
rnacentral:rRNA from 1 species